GUGAAUCAUCGAAUUUUUGAACGCAAAUUGCACUCUCCCCGGAGAGUAUGCCUGUUUGAGGGUCAGCCUAUAAAAAAUCGACAUAGUUGCUGUUUCGCGGUGGCGUUCGUCGGAAAGUGGGUUAUCUUAAAUCUUUUGGUUUUAAGCGACUUAAAAUUUUCUUUUUGAUUUCAUGAACGUUUCUAAGAUUUAUUUUCUUACACGUUUAAGGUAUAGAUUUUUAUUAGACGUGACCAUCAUAUCGGAUUGCGCCUAGAAUUUUUUA
rnacentral:misc_RNA from 1 species